rnacentral:rRNA from 1 species
AGUGAACGCUGGCGGUAGGCCUAACACAUGCAAGUCGAACGGCAGCACAGUAAGAGCUUGCCCUUACGGGUGGCGAGUGGCGGACGGGUGAGGAAUACAUCGGAAUCUACUUUUUCGUGGGGGAUAACGUAGGGAAACUUACGCUAAUACCGCAUACGACCUACGGGUGAAAGCAGGGGAUCUUCGGACCUUGCGCGAUUGAAUGAGCCGAUGUCGGAUUAGCUAGUUGGCGGGGUAAAGGCCCACCAAGGCGACGAUCCGUAGCUGGUCUGAGAGGAUGAUCAGCCACACUGGAACUGAGACACGGUCCAGACUCCUACGGGAGGCAGCAGUGGGGAAUAUUGGACAAUGGGCGCAAGCCUGAUCCAGCCAUACCGCGUGGGUGAAGAAGGCCUUCGGGUUGUAAAGCCCUUUUGUUGGGAAAGAAAAGCAGCAGGUUAAAACCCCGCUGUUCUGACGGUACCCAAAGAAUAAGCACCGGCUAACUUCGUG